GAGGACGAUCAUACCACGUUGACAACACCAGGUAUCGUCUGAUCCCUGACGUCGGGCCGAGUCAGUACGUUGCAAGUAGACCACCUGGGAACACUCGGUGUCAUAGACA
rnacentral:rRNA from 1 species